CCGGGUACAACGGGGUGCGACACGGUGACGUGGGGCGGGAUCCCUGAAAACCGGUCUCAGUUCGGAUCGCAGUCUGCAACUCGACUGCGUGAAGGUGGAGUCGCUAGUAAUCGCGGAUCAGCAACGCCGCGGUGAAUACGUUCCCGGGCCUUGUACACACCGCCCGUCACACCGUGGAAGUCUGCAAUGCCCGAAGCCGGUGGCCUAACCACUUAUGUGGAAGGAGCCGUCUAAGGCAGGGCAGAUGACUGGGGUGAAGUCGUAACAAGGUACC
rnacentral:rRNA from 1 species